AUUGAACGCUGGCGGCAGGCCUAACACAUGCAAGUCGAACGGUAGCACAGAGAGCUUGCUCUCGGGUGACGAGUGGCGGACGGGUGAGUAACGUCUGGGAAACUGCCCGAUGGAGGGGGAUAACUACUGGAAACGGUAGCUACUACCGCAUAACGUCGCAAGACCAAGUGGGGGACCUUCGGGCCUCACACCAUCGGAUGUGCCCAGAUGGGAUUAGCUAGUAGGUGGGGUAAUGGCUCACCUAGGCGACGAUCCCUAGCUGGUCUGAGAGGAUGACCAGGCACACUGGAACUGAGGCACGGUCCAGACUCCUACGGGAGGCAGCAGUGGGGAAUAUUGGACAAUGGGCGCAAGCCUGAUCCAGCCAUGCCGCGUGUAUGAAGAAGGUCUUCGGAUUGUAAAGUACUUUCAGCGGGGAGGAAGGCGGUGAAGUUAAUAGCUUCACCGAUUGACGUUACCCACAGAAGAAGCACAGGCUAACUCCGUGCCAGCCGCCGCCGUAAGAC
rnacentral:rRNA from 1 species